UAUUAGAAAGAAUACCAAUUGCGAAGGCAGCUUUCUGGAUCAUUACUGACACUGAGGAACGAAAGCAUGGGUAGCGAAGAGGAUUAGAUACCCUCGUAGUCCAUGCCGUAAACGAUGUGUGUUAGACGUUGGAAAUUUAUUUUCAGUGUCGCAGCGAAAGCGAUAAACACACCGCCUGGGGAGUACGACCGCAAGGUUAAAACUCAAAUGAAUUGACGGGGACCCGCACAAGUAGUGGAGCAUGUGGUUUAAUUCGAAGAUACGCGCAGAACCUUACCAACACUUGACAUGUUCGUCGCGACUUUAAGAGAUUAAAGUUUUCGGUUCGGCCGGACGAAACACAGGUGCUGCAUGGCUGUCGUCAGCUCGUGUCGUGAGAUGUUGGGUUAAGUCCCGCAACGAGCGCAACCCUCACUUUUAGUUGCCAUCAUUUAGUUGGGCACUCUGAAAGAACUGCCAGUGAUAAGCUGGAGGAAGGUGGGGAUGACGUCAAGUCCUCAUGGCCCUUACGUGUUGGGCUACACACGUGCUACAAUGGUAUCUACAACAGGAAGCAAAACAGCGAUGUUAAGCAAAUCCUUAAAAGAUACCUCAGUUCGGAUUGCACUCUGCAACUCGAGUGCAUGAAGCUGGAAUUACUAGUAAUCGUGGAUCAGCGUGCCACGGUGAAUGCGUUCCCGGGCCUUGUACACACCGCCCA
rnacentral:rRNA from 1 species